rnacentral:rRNA from 1 species
UACGUAGGGGGCAAGCGUUGUCCGGAUUUAUUGGGCGUAAAGAGCUCGUAGGCGGUCUGUCACGUCUGCCGUGAAAACCCGAGGCUUAACCUCGUGGCUUGCGGUGGAUACGGGCAGACUAGAGGUAGGUAGGGGAGAAUGGAAUUCCCGGUGUAGCGGUGAAAUGCGCAGAUAUCGGGAGGAACACCGGUGGCGAAGGCGGUUCUCUGGGCCUUACCUGACGCUGAGGAGCGAAAGCGUGGGGAGCGAACAGG